UUAAUUUCAGUGCGUGAAAAUACGAGUAGAUGUACAUACUUUUCAUCUAUAUUAUUUAGGUAUGUACCUACUCGAAAUGGUGAAGUUUAUUUUCGUGAUUUUGAUUUCGAGUUUCUCAAUCCAAAGUUAUUUUAGCAGCUUCAGCUUCGGAUGCAACAAAUACCAGUACCCAAAGUACUUAUGAUUUAUUGAAAACGACAGAUGAGCUCAAAAAACGAUGCAUAAUCUACAAACAAUCUUCACUUUGAGCGAUUGCUCUAGAAAAAUUGGAACCUGUGUAAAGUGAAUUCAAUUCAAAUAUCUCAACUAGAAAUCCAGCAAGCCAUUAAUAGGAUGAACGUACGGUAACAACUAUAGCAGUGUUUUUCGAAUGGCUUCUAACAUCAAAAUGAAUAUUUACUUGCUAAUUCGAUGAAUAUUUCGCAUCCAUUUCGAAAUGGUCGUAUGUCAAAAUUCGCAGAUGUUUUGCGACAAGAAUUUCCUGAAUUUGAUAAUAAAAGGCUCAUUGAAAGAAGGACAAGGAGAUCCCGGAUUCUUGGCAGCCAAUAUGUUGUGUUCCUUGUUAGAGCAAGUAUGCACCCUGCAGAAGAAAAUUGACAAGAUAGAUGAAGGCAAAAUCGAUCACACUAUGAAAAUAGUAAAGGUACGCACAAUUCAGAGUGAGAGAGAUAGAAUGAUCUCAAGAUCACCUUGAAAGAUGAAAAUAUGCCAAGAAUGAACAAUUUUCACCAUUCAAGGCUAAAAAUAUGAAUCCAGAUGCCAAACUUCCUAAUCACCCUGUAUACUGUGUAGGCACUCUCGAGUCCAAAAUACACGUUGGAUUUAUCGCUUU